rnacentral:lncRNA from 10 species
GAGCCGGACGCAGGCGUGCCUGCGCAGUGCGCGGAGGAGUGCUGUUCGUGUGUUCGAGUCCCUGGGUUGCUUCCUGGGGUCUGUGGUGCUGGGUGUGCUAUCUGCGUGUGAUUCUCUAGCGAGAGAUUGUGGGCGAGUGACCGAGUGGGCAAGGGGCCGUCACUGUGUGUGCGUGAUUUUGACAGUGUGUGGUGGUAGCUUCUGACUCCGCGUGGGUCGUUGAAUGUAUGACUGGGACCGUUUAGCGGUGGAUACACAACUGUGUGCGGCUGUGGAAGAUUGCCUCAUCCGUUACGUUCCCAUUUCCGUGGAACAACAGUUUUACCAGAAGGUUUCGAAGGAACCUUAAAGUUUGGAAGCGUAAGAGUUUAUCUGGCGGCUUUGGUGUCAUCAAAUGUGAGAAGCCCUGGACUUUACACAUCCCGAGCCAGUGUGAUCCAGUAUGAUUGGGAGUCCGAGUGCCAGAUGCCGGUCAGGACCUGUUAUGCUGGGUCUCAGAAUGCGGAAACUCUCCCUGUCCGAGGUGGAACAGUUUGUCCUUGAGUGAGGACUGGAGUCCUGAGUGACUCUUUUGAUUUGAUCCUGUUUCCCUCAAACCUGAGAUGGGAGCCUCACUGUAUUGCCCAGGCUGGUCUUGAACUCCGGAGCUCAAGUGAUCGUCUUGCUUCAGCCUUGCAAAAUGAUGGUGAAGCUGCAUCAUUGUCUGGGAUGGAGUCCCUGUCUGACCGGGCCAUGUUGUAUGUUCCUUGCUGUACACGUGGUUGACAAAGAAAAGGGAAGAUGGAGCUGCGAUGUUGGACAUGCCUGGCCCCCAGGACAUACAGCCCUGCCGAGCAAAUAAUGAACGUAACUCACAAACUUCCUGCUUAUCAUCAAACGCACGCAUCCACUUAUCAUCAAACACCUCGGGUGACAGAAGAAUGCAGGUCAGCUCCCUGCUGCCUUGGCAUUAUCAAUCAGCCCAGGAACCAUCCUAUAAAAUCUCCAGCAAGCCUUUGUUUCCUUGCAGUCAGCUCCUCUUCCACUGAUUCUGCCUGUUGCUCCCUGAUAACAUACUUUGAUACUGUCUUUAAUAAAUCUGCCUUUCUUCACCCACAGCUGUCUUGGUAAGUUCUUUUACCUCUGU